rnacentral:rRNA from 1 species
UACGUAGGGGGCUAGCGUUGUCCGGAAUCAUUGGGCGUAAAGCGCGUGUAGGCGGUCCGGUAAGUCCGCUGUGAAAGUCGAGGGCUCAACCCUCGAAUGCCGGUGGAUACUGUCGGGCUUGAGUACGGGAGAGGCGAGUGGAAUUCCUGGUGUAGCGGUGAAAUGCGUUGAUAUCCAGCGGAACUCCGGUGGCGAAGGCGGCUACCUGGCCCACUCUUGACGCUGAGGCACGAAAGCGUGGGGGAGCAAACAGG